rnacentral:rRNA from 1 species
CAAUUUAAACAACGAAGAGUUUGAUCCUGGCUCAGGAUGAACGCUAGCGACAGGCUUAACACAUGCAAGUCGAGGGGCAGCGGGGGUAGCAAUACCCACCGGCGACCGGCGCACGGGUGAGUAACGCGUAUGCAACUUACCUAUCAGAGGGGGAUAACCCGGCGAAAGUCGGACUAAUACCGCAUGAAGCAGGGGCCCCGCAUGGGGAUAUUUGCUAAAGAUUCAUCGCUGAUAGAUAGGCAUGCGUU